GACAAGUUGGUGGACCGUGGCUGGAAAACAUUAUUACUGUUUUUAAAAGGUAACUGGUCCACAUCCACAAUUACAGUAGGGCUGAAGUAGAUAAUAAGCAUGAUCCCACAGAGAACAGCGGGACAUUCACUUCAGCCGAAAAGCUUUGAGAUGGCCCAGCAAGCUGCAGGAACAACAAUGGCUACUGUGGCAAGACCUAAACCUGCUUGAAGUAGGCGUUUGGCAUCAUGAUACCAUGAACCAUGGGUCUCAACCUGUUCAGGUUCAGGAGCAUUUCUAGUUAUUACAUUAUCUGCCACUUCCACUUUUGGCUGAUGAUUUUCCAAAGUUUUCCUGAGUUCUGCAAUCUCUUCUCUAGUAAUUUCGUGCCCUCUUUUGAGUUCUGUGUUUUCUUCCCUAAUAUUUUCAUACCGUCGUCUGAGUUCUGCAUUCUCUUCCCUGAGUUCUGCAUUCUGUUCUCUAAUAACUUCAAACCCUCUUUUGAGUUCUUUGUUUUCUUUCCUAAUACUUUUGUACCGUCCUCUGAGUUCUGCAUUCUCUUCCCUGAGUUCUGCAAUCUGUUUCCUAAAUUCUGUGUGCAUUUCGCAAACCUCCAUCAGAACUUGCUGAUGCUGCAGCCUGAGUGAUUCUGAUUCAAUUUCACUAUUGCUAUCAGAAGAUAAAUUAUUUAAUGAUUCCUGUGACAUUUCUUAAAACGUUUAAAGCAAAGAGCCAAAAGUUAAAUACGUUCUCUGAAUUAUGUAAAUGCAAAAGUAUUCGCUUUGUUAAAAACAACUGGCUUUCGGAAAAUGCUCCAAUCUAAACUGUUAAAGGAGCUCUUCUAUUUAUGGACUUAUGUGGCAGAGAAUAUGACGUCGACCGUGACGUCACAAUGAUCCUUUGAGAAGAUCAAUGGAGCGCUGGGGAUCAUCCCACGCAUGCUCAGAUCAUACACAAUGACAUCAAAGGAGCGCUGGGGAUCAUUCCGCGCAUGCUCAGAUCAUACAAAAUGAAAUGAACGAGUUAUUUUUAAAUACUUUGCUAUCUAACAGAGGUGACUUCCCUCUAACAAAGGUGAUUUUUGCAACACCUGUUAUAUACAGUUCAGUAUAUAGAGACACGAGACGACGAGGCUCCAGUUCCAUACAGUGCAAAAGAACAACAAUAAAUAUAGGAAAAAUAAGAAUACGUUUUUGGUGUGUUUAAAAAAAAAGGAGCAAGAAAAAGCAAUAACAAAAAACUAAAACACUUCCUCUCUCUCUCUCUCUCUCUCUGUGUGUGUUACCGUUCUCACCUCCGUACGGGCGGGUACAUGGACUGGGCAGACGCUUGCUGACUGGCGGCGAUGGCGGAGCACGAGAGUCCUGAAAAAAAGACAGGCAGCCAUUACACCUCUUUUAGGCUUUAUCUGGAUUUUGGAUUCUGGAGUUGGAGAAACUGCCUUCAAAUUUCUGUGUGCAGAGCAAUGGCCAAGAAAAGGAAAGACUUCCCCGAGUGAAAAAAAGAUGAAGAUACAAGUUGGUGAUGAUCCAGAGCAGCUGGUCUCAGGAAAUGAAGAAAAACCCUGAUCGCCUUAUCUACAAAAACAAGAAUAAAUUGCGUCUAGUCUCAAUGGCUGAGACGGAAGAGCAACACAGCGACACGUUAACCCCGACUGCUGCAGUUCCUGUAUGAACUGAGCAACUCUGAAAAUCCAAGGAAAAGCUGAGUGUAUUUUAUUUAAAGCUCAGAUGGACCUUGAUGGACUAUCAUGCAGGCUGCAUUCAGGACUUUGCCACACUGGUAUAUGAAGAGUGGUAACAAGAGAAAUUGUGCACACACAACGUGUCACUUUAUGCUUGCUCUUCUCCAGCCUCUGGUGUCACUUCAUAGUCAUUUGUCUUACUAUUGUCUAAUUAUUUGUGAUUUAGGGUCUGUGCGCACAAGCGGAGGUUUUUGUUUGGGAAGAAACCAUGACCUCGUUUUCAGAGCCUUGUCUAACAUUUAAUGGCUGUAAAAUAUGUCAGACUUUUUACUCUACUUAAACACCUAAGAGCAUUUGAACACAGUGGAGAGAAAGGUGUGCAUUAAGGAUUUUGAGCUAUGAUCUUUAAGCGUUGUCACUGCUGAGGAUUCGUGGACACAGAUCCUUAUUCACCACGCUGCUGUUUACAGUUGAACUUUUCAUCAGAACAAGCACUUCUAAUUGUACUUUGCUCCUCUCUGACAAAACAAGUCCAGUAAAUGCACUUUUAUCUUUAAGUUUGGGACAGUAAUCUGUCUUAAUUUAUUUUGUGUUUUAGUUAUCAUAUGGGGAAAAGUCCUGUGGUUAUCCGUCCUGUUCGAAUAAAUCCAAAGUUCAGAAACACCUUUAGAUCUGUUCAGUUUUAUUCAUGUAGCACCACUUAAACAGUCAACAAAUUUUGGCUCAAAGUAUGUCAAACUGUAAGGUAAAGACCCCAAAGAGUUAAUCUCAGACAAAUGUUCACACAAAUGUGAAUUACAUUCACUUCAUUAAUGAAGUAAAUGCAAUUCAGUAAUCAAAGGUGUUUGGCUAUAACUGACUACAUGUGUAUACUGUAUCAUAAGUGGACAGACAUGGAUGUAAACCACACCUUAACCAUUUGGCUGAGGCAAAACUACCACAAGGCAGUGAUUCUAACUUAAAGGUACUCUGGAUAUUAUUAAAUGUGAACAUAUCGUUAAAUAUGACAUUUUUUUUGUCAGGUGUCCUGUUUGAAGAAAACACUUGGGAGUCAAUUGAAUGAAUGUAAAUAAACACAUUUACAUGAGGGCAACCAGAUUUCAAGGAAA